rfam:Oryza glumipatula chromosome 5, whole genome shotgun sequence.
AAUAAGUGCUGUUUUGCACUAUUCACAUUCAACGUUUGAUCAUUCGUCUUAUUUGAAAAUUUUUUAUGAUUAGUAUUUUUAUUGCUAUUAGAUGAUAAAACAUGAAUAUAUAGUACUUUAUGUGUGACUAAAUAGUUUCAAAUUUUUCACAAAUUUUUCAAAUAAGAUGGACGGUCAAACGUUGGGCACGAAUAUCCACGGCUGCAUUUAUU